GCGAGUGUGCUGGAAUAGGCAGACAGGCAUGUUUGAGGGGCAUGUGCUAGUAUUAGCGUAUGGGUUCAAGUCCCAUCACUCGCACCA
rnacentral:tRNA from 1 species